UGGGAGGUGAGAGCGCAACAGCUCAAAUUGGGGAUCUGGUCUUUUUGACCCGAAUUGUAAUUUGGAGAAGGUGCUUCGGAUUAGAUUAAGGUCCAAGUCUCCAGGAAUGGAGCAUCAUAGAGGGUGAUAAUCCCGUAUCAGCCGAGAUAUCUGUCCGUGUGAAGCCCUUUCAACGAGUCGAGUUGUUUGGGAAUGCAGCUCUAAGUGGGAGGUAAAUUUCUUCUAAAGCUAAAUAUCAGCCAGAGACCGAUAGCGAACAAGUAGAGUGAUCGAAAGAUGAAAAGCACUUUGAAAAGAGAGUUAAAAAGCACGUGAAAUUGUUGAAAGGGAAGCGCAUGCUACCAGACUUGUUCUUGUUGUUCAGCUACCUGAAAAGGUGGUGCAUUCUUCACGAACAGGCCAACAUCGGUUUCGAGGGUUGGAUAAAAACUCGAGGAAAGUAGCUUUCUUCGGAAAGUGUUAUAGCCUGAGUAUAACGCAGCCACUCGAGACCGAGGAACGCGCUUUGCGAGGAUGUUGGCAUAAUGGUCGUUUGCGACCCGUCUUGAAACACGGACCAAGGAGUCGACCAAUGGCGCGAGCAUUUGGGUAUAAAACCCUUUUGCAUAAUGAAAGUGAACGUUAGUAGGAACCUUUUAGGUGCACUAUUGACCGACCUAAACUUUGUGAGGGUUUGAGUAAGAGCGUUUUUGGUCGGACCCGAAAGGCAAGUCCUCUCAAACUAGUAGUUUCUUUGAAGAUAUAUAUACUAACAGGUUUAUAGAAGGUGAACUAUUCCUGACUAGGGUGAAGCCAGGGGAAACCCUGGUGGAGGCUCGCAGCGGUUCUGACGUGCAAAUCGAUCGUCAAAGCUGGGAAUAGGGGCGAAAGACUAAUCGAACCUUUCUAGUAGCUGGUUCCUGUCGAAGUUUCCCUCAGGAUAGCAGUAACGAUAACAGUCUCAUGAGGUAGAGCAACGAUUGGAGGCAUGGGGGAAGAAACUUCCUUCACCUACUCUCGAACUCCGAAUAUGUGAGAAGUCCUUGUUACUUAAUUGAACGUGGACAUUUGGAUGUGCGACACUACCCCCGGCAUUUUUGGUAAGCAAGAACCUGGCCGAC
rnacentral:rRNA from 1 species